GACGAAGGAUGCAAGCGUUAUCCGGAUUCAUUGGGUUUAAAGGGAGCGUAGGUGGCCUUAUAAGUCAGUGGUGAAAUCUCUCAGCUUAACUGAGAAAUUGCCAUUGAUACUGUAGGGCUUGAGUACAGAUGCCGUUGGCGGAAUAUGACAUGUAGUGGUGAAAUACAUAGAGAUGUCAUAGAACACCGAUUGCGAAGGCAGCUGACGAAACUGUAACUGACACUGAGGCUCGAAGGCCAGGGGAGCAAACGGG
rnacentral:rRNA from 1 species